rnacentral:rRNA from 1 species
AGAACGAACGCUGGCGGCAGGCUUAACACAUGCAAGUCGAGCGCCUCGCAAGAGGAGCGGCAGACGGGUGAGUAACGCGUGGGAACGUGCCCAAAGGUACGGAACAACUCCGGGAAACUGGAGCUAAAUACCGUAUGUGCCCGAAAGGGGAAAGAUUUAUCGCCUUUGGAUCGGCCCGCGUCUGAUUAGCUAGUUGGUAGGGUAACGGCCUACCAAGGCGACGAUCAGUAGCUGGUCUGAGAGGAUGACCAGCCACACUGGGACUGAGACACGGCCCAGACUCCUACGGGAGGCAGCAGUGGGGAAUAUUGGACAAUGGGCGCAAGCCUGAUCCAGCCAUGCCGCGUGAGUGAUGAAGGCCUUAGGGUUGUAAAGCUCUUUCGCCAGGGACGAUAAUGACGGUACCUGGAUAAGAAGCCCCGGCUAACUUCGUGCCAGCAGCCGC